rnacentral:tRNA from 1 species
UCUCGGGUAGUUCAAUGGUAGAACGCUGCACUGUUAAUGCAGAUGUUGCAGGUUCGAAUCCUGCCCCGAGAG